UUGCCGGAAGCAAUAAAAGGAUAUUAACCGUAGCAGAGAUCGGUGGAGUGAGAAGUUAAGCAAAAUCCACUUACUGGUAACACCAAUGGAUGAGGUAAGCGUCGUUGUUGGAAUGACACGGUAAUCACAAUCAGAUAUAACGAUAAGAAAAGACGCUAUGGGACCGUUUCCGGGAACUUGUAGAUCAAGGCAGUACUGACGCAAUCAAAGAGGAUGACGGUAAGUAGUCAAAAAUCAGAGUGCGCAACAAGUUUUGGUUGAGAAUGUAGUCAGCAGAUUGGCCUUUAGGCCAACAACUCUUUGAGAGGAAAGUUUCAUUCCAAGAGACUGAAUGUGAUUGACCACAAGAUGAUUGACGAACGUGUGACAAUUAGUGCAUACACUCCCACUUAAAUCUUGGAUUAAUAGUAACGAAGUACUCUUGAGAGCAGAGACUGCGUUUGAGAAACACGGUUCAACUUAGAAGUUUAACACGGUGAACUAGUAAGAAUAAGUAUGCUUUGAUGUAAUUCGAAGACUACAGAAAAAGGGACUGUUAUACCAUGUGCGUUUGAACUGAGGGAGGAUGACAUAAGAGACUAACAGAUGAUGAACUCACAUAUAAGAGUUGUAAUAUGGACUGAGGUGUGAGUUCGAUGUCAUGAAAUGGACGAUUGGGAUUUCCGAUGGUAACAUAAGAAACUGCUAACGCAGUAAAAAGUGAUGAUUAGUAACCAAUGAACGGCAAGCCAUGAUCGGUAAAGAAGAUAUGUCAAGGGAUUUUGGAAAGAACAUAAACGAUUUACCAUGGUUAUCCUGGUGAUGAAUGAAGAAGUUUCGAAUUUCGAGGACGAAAUUCAUUUAAGGGGGGUAGAUUGUAACAACCCACUUAAUUAAUAGUAGUAAUAUUAAUUAGAGACAGUUGAGAAUUUAAUUACAAGAAAAAAAUUGGACAAGUGAAGGAUAUGGAAAUUACAUAAGUGUAAAUUGGAAUAACUUGUGAAGGACAAAAUAGUAAUUUUGUAGUAAUAGCCAUAUAAGUUCCAAGAUGAGAAGAACAACUCUCUUUCUCAAAACACUCUCACGCCCAACCUCCCUUUCUCACCAUAACCACAAACUUCAUACUCCAUUAAUCCAUCAAAUUUCUUAAUGCAUGUAUGAAUUCUUCUUAACCCAUCAUCAAUUAAACUCAAUAGAAGCAAAAACCAACCCUAUCUUCCUCUCCUUCCCACUCUUAGCCACAAACCCCUUUCUUCCUCACAAACUCAUACCUUCCACCAUUUGCACGAAUUUCUUAUGGGUAGCUUGUAGAUGUUGGAAACCAAUGUAAUGUAAGCAUUCCUAAACUUUCCCCUCUUCUGUGUUGAUUUGACCGAUUUUGAUGGUUAGAGAAUGAGAUAGUUAUUAUCCGAUUUCCCUUGAAAGUGAAGGUUGAAAGAAGUCAUGUUUCACUGUUAGUUUGGAAUUUCAGCAAAGAUGUGGACUUGUAACAGUGGAGACUAAAGAUUGAAGCUUGGAAGAAAUUGAAGAGAAUGGAAAAGAAAGAAAUUGGAAGGAUUUGGGUUAAACCCGUAUUCUGGACAGACCUCCACUAAAAAGUUUCAUGGAUUUCUAAGCAGUAAUGAAUUCGGAAGAAGCAUUUGAAGUUCGAGGUCUGAUGCAGAACUUUGGGCUACGGGUUUAGAGUGUUGUGGCUGCAAAUUCUGUUUUUCAACUAGCUCCGAAUAUGUUGUUAGCACGAUUCAAACGUCAUGUUCAGGUAACAGGUUGAGCAUGAUAAAUGGAUUUUCAAGAGGAUUGAAGUAAAGACGCUGUUUAUGGAAACUUCGUAGCAUUCACCUGUUAAAUUAUUAUAGAAGAUGAUUCAAGGCUUGAUCCUGAUUGUUAUGCAUUCUAUUUCGCUCUGAUGUAUAAUAUAUUAUAGGUUGUACAUUAUGACAGUUUAUUCAGGAUUUUGUCAAGAUUAUGUAUUGUCUGGCAAAUUAUCUUGUAAUUGUACUAUGUCGGACAAAAGUUAUUCUGUAAUUUUAAUGUUUCCCGAUUCAGUUAUGUAUGCUCCUAUUGA